AACGAACGCUGGCGGCAGGCCUAACACAUGCAAGUCGAGCGAGGACUUCGGUUCUAGCGGCGGACGGGUGAGUAACGCGUGGGAAUGUGCCCUUCUCUACGGAAUAGCCCUGGGAAACUGGGAGUAAUACCGUAUACGCCCUAUUGGGGAAAGAUUUUUCGGAGAAGGAUCAGCCCGCGUUGGAUUAGGUAGUUGGUGGGGUAAUGGCCUACCAAGCCGACAAUCCAUAGCUGGUUUGAGAGGAUGAUCAGCCACACUGGGACUGAGACACGGCCCAGACUCCUACGGGAGGCAGCAGUGGGGAAUCUUAGACAAUGGGGGCAACCCUGAUCUAGCCAUGCCGCGUGAGUGAUGAAGGCCUUAGGGUUGUAAAGCUCUUUCAGCUGGGAAGAUAAUGACGGUACCAGCAGAAGAAGCCCCGGCUAACUCCGUG
rnacentral:rRNA from 1 species